rnacentral:rRNA from 1 species
AGUCCUCAACUGACGCUAAUGCUCGAAAGUGCGGGUAUCGAACAGGAUUAGAUACCCUGGUAGUCCGCACGGUAAACGAUGGAUGCCCGCUGUUGGCGAUAUAUUGUCAGCGGCCAAGCGAAAGCGUUAAGCAUCCCACCUGGGGAGUACGCCGGCAACGGUGAAACUCAAAGGAAUUGACGGGGGCCCGCACAAGCGGAGGAACAUGUGGUUUAAUUCGAUGAUACGCGAGGAACCUUACCCGGGCUUGAACUGCAGCAGAACGAUAGAGAGAUCUUGAGGCCCUUCGGGGCUGCUGUGGAGGUGCUGCAUGGUUGUCGUCAGCUCGUGCCGUGAGGUGUCGGCUUAAGUGCCAUAACGAGCGCAACCCCUUCCGUCAGUUGCCAUCACUUUGGGUGGGCACUCUGGCGGUACUGCCACCGUAAGGUGUGAGGAAGGUGGGGAUGACGUCAAAUCAGCACGGCCCUUACGUCCGGGGCUACACACGUGUUACAAUGGGUGGUACAGAGAGUCAACCGCCGGCAACGUCGGUUUAAUCAAUAAAGCCAUCCUCAGUUCGGAUUGGGGUCUGCAACCCGACCCCAUGAAGCUGGAUCGCUA